rnacentral:rRNA from 1 species
ACGCUCGACACCUACGAGAGGCAGCAGUGAGGAAUAUUGGUCAAUGGGCGCAGGCCUGAACCAGCCAAGUAGCGUGAAGGAUGACUGCCCUAUGGGUUGUAAACUUCUUUUAUAUGGGAAUAAAGUUUUCCACGUGUGGAAUUUUGUAUGUACCAUAUGAAUAAGGAUCGGCUAACUCCGUGCCUGCAGCCGCGGUAAUCUGAGCGGGCGUGGCGAAGGC